UACAGAGGGUGCGAGCGUUAAUCGGAAUUACUGGGCGUAAAGGGUGCGUAGGUGGUUGUUUAAGUUGGAUGUGAAAUCCCUGGGCUUAACCUAGGAACUGCAUACAAUACUGGGCAACUGGAGUGUGGUAGAGGGUAGUGGAAUUUCCGGUGUAGCGGUGAAAUGCGUAGAUAUCGGAAGGAACACCAGUGGCGAAGGCGGCUACCUGGACUAACACUGACACUGAGGCACGAAAGCGUGGGGAGCAAACAGG
rnacentral:rRNA from 1 species